rnacentral:rRNA from 1 species
AGUGAACGCUGGCGGUAUGCCUAACACAUGCAAGUCGAACGGCAGCACAGUAAGAGCUUGCUCUUACGGGUGGCGAGUGGCGGACGGGUGAGGAAUACAUCGGAAUCUACUUUUUCGUGGGGGAUAACGUAGGGAAACUUACGCUAAUACCGCAUACGACCUACGGGUGAAAGCAGGGGAUCUUCGGACCUUGCGCGAUUGAAUGAGCCGAUGUCGGAUUAGCUAGUUGGCGGGGUAAAGGCCCACCAAGGCGACGAUCCGUAGCUGGUCUGAGAGGAUGAUCAGCCACACUGGAACUGAGACACGGUCCAGACUCCUACGGGAGGCAGCAGUGGGGAAUAUUGGACAAUGGGCGCAAGCCUGUUCCAGCCAUACCGCGUGGGUGAAGAAGGCCUUCGGGUUGUAAAGCCCUUUUGUUGGGAAAGAAAAGCAGCAGGUUAAUACCCCGCUGUUCUGACGGUACCCAAAGAAUAAGCACCGGCUAACUUCGUG